rfam:Perkinsus marinus ATCC 50983 gcontig_1104296669560, whole genome shotgun sequence.
AAGGCCUGAUGUGUGUGAGAUUACCCGCUGAAUUUAAGCAUAUAAGUAAGCGGAGGAAAAGAAACUAACUAGGAUUCCCUUAGUAAUGGCGAAUGAACAGGGAUCAGCUCAGUGCCAAAUCGGAAUCACUUGUGGUUCUGAAAUGUGGCUUGAAGGCAGUACCAGUGGCAUCGCGGACGAAAGUCUCUUGGAAAAGAGCGUCAUAGAGGGUGAGAAUCCCGUGAGUCGUUCGCCGUUUGUCACGUACGGUCUGCGUUCUAACGAGUCGCGUUCCUUGGGAUUGGAGCGUAAACGGGUGGUAAAUUUCAUCCAAAGCAAAAUAUAUACUCGAGACCGAUAGCACAAAAGUACCGUGAGGGAAAGGUGAAAAGAACUUUGAGAAGAGGGUUAAAUAGUGCCUGAAAUCGUUGAGAAGGAAGCGGAUGCCGCCGUUGCAUAUGCUGAUUGUAGGAUUGCUGCUCGCUCCUGUCUUCUGCUACUCAUUCACAGACCUGGUCGUGUUGAGCAGUUGUUUGGCAGAUGUUAGUGGUGUUUCCUACUUUCAGUCGUCAGCAUCACUGGCUGAGUGGAAAUAAUCCUUGGAUGCUAAUGGUUCGCUAUCUGUGAAUUGGUUGCUUCCUUGCGAUACUCACUACUCGGUCAGUGAGAGUGCGUUUGCUGUCACGAGCUUUCUACUG